CUGGAUUGGGGCUUUAAGGGGAGGAGCUAACACAAAACAUGUCAUAUAAAUGAAUCAAUGCUUACUUCAGUAUCACUUUGUGCUGUAGAUGAACUAAUGAUAUCUAUCUGUAAAUUUAUCUGUUUUUAUCUUUCGGGAAAAUAAUGCUGUUUGUAUUGGUUUUACUUUGUUCUCUAGCAGAUAACAGUUUUGGAAACAUCAUUACACCAGUUCAAACUGAGAUGUCUGAAGUAGAGGGUGAAAAUAUAAGUUUGUCCUGUAACUACUCAUCAUCUUCAGCAAAUUCACUACAGUGGUAUCGGCAAUAUCAUGGAUCAGCUCCUGAAUAUCUGUUCAUCAUUCUGCAUGCUACUGGAAAUGUUUUACAAAAGUCAGAAAGUGUAAAUCAAGAUUCUCGAUUCUCUGCUAAAGUGAAUGAAAAGAAAACUCAAGUGGAGCUAAAGAUCUCAUCUGUUAAAGUCAAAGACUCUGCUCUGUAUUACUGUGCACUGACGCCCACAGUGACAGGAAACACAACAACACUGUACAAAAACUCACUGCUAAGACAAGCAUCAUGUCAUGGAUAAGUAAAAGCAAUAUUUGAAGCUUUGUAA